rnacentral:rRNA from 1 species
GAUGAACGCUGGCGGCGUGCCUAACACAUGCAAGUCGAGCGAUUCUCUUCGGAGAAGAGCGGCGGACGGGUGAGUAACGCGUGGGUAACCUGCCCUGUACACACGGAUAACAUACCGAAAGGUAUGCUAAUACGAGAUAAUAUGCUUUUAUCGCAUGGUAGAAGUAUCAAAGCUCCGGCGGUACAGGAUGGACCCGCGUCUGAUUAGCUAGUUGGUAAGGUAACGGCUUACCAAGGCGGCGAUCAGUAGCCGACCUGAGAGGGUGAUCGGCCACAUUGGAACUGGGACACGGUCCAAACUCCUACGGGAGGCAGCAGUGGGGAAUAUUGCACAAUGGGCGAAAGCCUGAUGCAGCAACGCCGCGUGAGCGAUGAAGGCCUUCGGGUCGUAAAGCUCUGUCCUCAAGGAAGAUAAUGACGGUACUUGAGGAGGAAGCCCCGGCUAACUACGUGCCAGCCGCCGCAGUAA